GGGCGAGUGGCGGAAGGGCAGACGCUGGGGACUUAAAAUCCCCUGAGGGCAACCUCAUCCGGGUUCGAUCCCCGGCUCGCCCACCA
rnacentral:tRNA from 1 species